GUACUGUGCUCUGUACAUGAAGGUUACAGAGAUUAGCAUGACCUCUGCAUAAGGAUGAUAUGCAAAUUCAUAAAGUGUUCCAUGUUUUU
ensembl:snRNA U6 U6 spliceosomal RNA